rnacentral:lncRNA from 1 species
GACUGCUAAACUGAGGAGGUGAAUCAAAGAAAAACGACAAUGAAUCUUCAAGAACUAUACUCUAGCAUGAAAAGGGAGUAGACUCUACCAAAGAUAUCAAAUCAUUCACACACAAUACUCGAGUGUUUUAGUUUCCAAGGGUCAUAAUGAUGGAACAUCCAAAAAUACGUUUUAAGAAUGCAUAGACACGAUAUUAAGGGGAAGCUAUUAUGGGACACCCAUAGCACCCCUGACAAAACCCCUCAUGAAUGAACUAUAAUUAACAACCUUAGUUGAAUUCCAUAUAUGUGCAGAGAUCCAAGUUUUUCUUUUCUUAUACAUGGGUUUAAAAACCCCUUUGGUUGAGUCAAAACAGAACUUGUUUGGUCGACGUCAUGGCAAUAAAAUGGAAGGUCUACCUGUAGGGUGUCACAAUGAACUUGAUACCCAUAUUAUUGUUACCAUGCCUCAUAGAGGGCCUAAAUUGUACUUUGUAAAAAACAUA